CGUCCAGUUAGUCUGUAGGCUGGGGAAGGGGACCCCACCCACCCAGGGGGUCCUGAGUGCGAGUUCUGAAGGGGAUGGGGAGGGAAUGGAUUACGUACUCUGAAACCACGGCAUUGGUUCAAAUUCCAUAGUGACCGUUGACGAAAAAUGGGGUCUGCAGGCCUGGUCCGGCGGUGUGACCACUGGUGUCACUCUAUCUUCGGCUUUAUUUUAAUCAACAUGCCAGGAACAUUGGUAAAAAGGUCAGUUGUAAAAUGAAAUGUCACAAGUUAGGGAUCAAUGGUUACAUAGACAUUGCUCAAGUUUCCGUUUCUCCUGAGAAACUGACCUGGGGUCAACUGAAAAGAAUUUAGGCCUCAGUCAGCAAGAGAGGGUCUGUUUUCUUUUAAAAGAUUGGCCCUAAGUUAACAUCUGUUGCCAAUCUUCCUCCUUUUAUUUUUCCUUCUCCCCAAAGCCCCCCUGAGCUGACACUGGGCUACUGGGGUAACCCAGCACAGUCUCCCCGACUCAAGAGCCGCGUCUGCCAAGUGCCCUUGCCAUGGAGGGUGACGUGCUCACAAGUUGUGAGCAUUGAUGCCGAUCUUUUUGGGGACCAUUAUUCUGCCUACAGCAGAAUCAAAGAACAUUAGAUCCGAGAGGAAGCUUCAGAAGCAGGAGGUCCAGUCUUCUCCCUGUGGAAGGCUGAGUGUGGAUGCCGUGUUGUCGGCAGUGAGGGUUAAACGUGAAAGGACACUGAGGGUGGCGGUGUGGGAUCCUGCACCGGAUCCGGAGACAGAAAAAGGACACCAGAGGAAAAGCUAGUGACGUCUGAACGGAGUCUGCGAUUUAGGCAACAGUAUAUACUGGUGAUGACUGUUUGGUUUUGUUGGACGUCCCGUGGUUAUCUAAGAUCUUAACAUCGGGGAAGCUG
rnacentral:lncRNA from 1 species